AGAGUUUGAUCCUGGCUCAGAACGAACGCUGGCGGCGUGGAUUAGGCAUGCAAGUCGAACGAUAGGGACCUUUCGGGGUCCUGAAAGUGGCAAACGGGUGAGUAACGCGUGGGAAACCUGCCCUUGUGCUGGGGAUAACACUCCUAACGGGGUGCUAAUACCGAAUACGAUUCCCGGGUCGCAUGGCCUGGGAAUGAAAGGCGGCCUCUGCUUGCAAGCUGUCGCACAAGGAUGGUCCCGCGUCCCAUUAGCUAGUUGGUAGGGUAACGGCCUACCAAGGCUGUGAUGGGUAGCCGGCCUUAGCGGGUGUCCGGCCACACUGGGACUGAGAUACGGCCCAGACUCCUACGGGAGGCAGCAGUCGAGAGGCUUCUACAAUGGGGGAAACCCUGAUAGAGCGACGCCGCGUGGGUGAUGAAGGUCUUCGGAUCGUAAAGCCCUUUCAGUAGGGAAGAAGGUGACAGGCGCUAAUAUCGUCUGUUGCAAGACGGUACCUACAGAAGAAGCUCCGGCUAACUCCGUGCCAGCAGCCGCGGUAAGACGGAGGGAGCAAGCGUUGUUCGGAUUUACUGGGCGUAAAGGGCGUCUAGGCGGGCCAGCCAGUCAGGUGUGAAACCCCCCGGCUCAGCCGGGGAUCUGCACUUGAUACUGCUGGUCUUGAGUACGAAAGAGUAGCGACUUCCUGGUGUAGCGGUGAAAUGCGUAGAUUCAGAAGAACACCGGUGGCGAGCGCUUCUGUCGAUACUGACGCUAAGCGCGAGUGUGGGGAGCAAAC
rnacentral:rRNA from 1 species